rnacentral:snRNA from 1 species
CAGCCAGGAGAUCAAUAUCAAAUUAAAACUUAUAUCGAACAUGGUUCUUGCCUUUUACCAGAACCAUCCGGGUAUUGUCUUCGCUAAUGGCUGUCGAGACAUUUUUUGGAACAAUCUCUCACUUUCUAAUGAGUGU